GGAGUUUGGGCCGUGUCUCAGUCCCAAUGUGGCCGGUCAUCCUCUCAGAUCGGCUACUGAUCGUCGUCUUGGUGGGCCGUUACCCCGCCAACUAACUAAUCAGACGCGGGUCCAUCUCACACCACCGGAGUUUUUACCCCUGUGCCAUGCGGCACUGUGGUCUUAUGCGGUAUUAACAGUCGUUUCCAACUGUUAUCCCCCUGUGUGAGGCAGGUUACCCACGCGUUACUCACCCGUCCGCCACUAAGUUAUAAAAAUCCAUCCGAAAACUUCAUUCCAUAACUCCGUUCGACUUGCAUGUGUUAAGCACGCCGCCAGCGUUCAUC
rnacentral:rRNA from 1 species